UAGCCGCAGUAUAUUGACUGUGCGAAGGUAGCAUAAUCAAUAGGUUAUUAAUUGUGAUCUGGAAUGAAUGGUUUGACAUAGGAUUUUCUUUCUUAUUUGUAUUAAUGAAUUUAAAUAGUUAGUGAAAAUGCUAAUUAGCUAAAAAAAGACAAGAAGACCCUAUUGAGUUUAAUAAUUAGUUUUUAUGUUUUUGGUUUUUUAAAGAAUUUUUUUAUUUGGUUGGGGCAACUUUUAUUAGGGGUAUAAUAUGUUAUUUUAUUAUUGAACCAUUAAUAAUGAUUAAUAGAGCAAAUUACCAUAGGGAUAACAGUUUAAUUUUGUCAUAGAGUUCUUAUCGAUGAUAAGGGUUGACACCUCGAUGUUGGAUUAAAUUCCUACUAUGUGCAGAAGCUUAGUAAGGUAGACUGUUCGUCUAUUAAAAAUUUACA
rnacentral:rRNA from 1 species